rnacentral:rRNA from 1 species
CACUAGCGAAUAUUAAAGUUGUUGCAGUUAAAAAGCUCGUAGUUGGAUAUCUGAAACGACGGACCUAGCUCUUUGAUUUUUUAUCAUCGACGCUAGUGAAGCGAUUAGAACUGAUUUUAUUUGGCUUGCCAUGUAGUAUCAGCGAACUAGUCGUAUUGUUUGUUGGCUUCUUUAUUCAGGGGAACUGCUCUGCCAUUUAUUUGGUUGGGGUAAGAAACCUGAUCGUUUACUUUGAAAAAUUAGAGUGUUUAAAGCAGGCUUUUGCCAGAAUCGAUUAGCAUGGAAUAAUUUUAUAGACUUUGGCAUUGUUGGUAGCUGCCAAGCAUUUAUGCACGGAUCACAGCUAUCGCAGUAACUAUUUUGUGGGUUUUAAAGCUAAAGUAAUGAUUGAUAGGGAUAGUUGGGGGUGCUAGUAUCGUCAGGCCAGAGGUGAAAUUCUCGGAUUCUGGUGAGACUAACUUAAGCGAAAGCAUUCACCAAGGAUAUCUUCAUUAAUCAAGAACGAAA